rnacentral:rRNA from 1 species
UACAUGGGGUGCAAACGUUGCUCGGAAUUAUUGGGCGUAAAGCGCGCGUAGGCGGUUACUUAAGUCUGAUGUGAAAGCCCUCGGCUUAACUGAGGAAGUGCACCCGAAACUGAGUAGCUAGAGUACGAAAGAGGGUCGCGGAAUUCCCGGUGUAGAGGUGAAAUUCGUAGAUAUCGGGAGGAACACCGGUGGCGAAGGCGGCGAGCUGGGUCGAGACUGACGCUGAGGCGCGAAAGCGUGGGGAGCAAACAGG